UGUUCUUCAAUGAAGUUGUAGCUGAGUUGGUAAAGUUAAUGGCAACAGUGCUUUACCAUAAUGUUUAAAUAUGCUUAAACUAUUUCAGA
rnacentral:tRNA from 12 species